CGACCACCUCCCACCACGCGGCAGCGCACCCGCCCCGUCGUGGCCUGCGCCCCACCCUCGACUAACCACUGCCGGCGCACCUCACCAUGACCUCCGCGGCUCCCUGGCGUUGGAUCCGGCCAAGCCGUGCCGAAAUCGAGCACCCCGUUCUUCCUCCUUUCUAUAACCUAUGUUCAUCCCUGAGAUCUCGUCCCUCUCUCACAACAGGAUGUUGUCGGUUGCCGCUCCUCACGCCCAGACGGCGCUGCCCUCGUCAGAUCCGGCGCCUCUAACCGGGUCCAUCCCUUCCACAGCCUCGCCGACACCUCCCCGUGCAGGAUCCCAA
rnacentral:rRNA from 1 species